GUGACUGCGUACCUUUUGUAUAAUGGGUCAGCGACUUAUAUUCUGUAGCAAGGUUAACCGAAUAGGGGAGCCGGAGGGAAACCGAGUCUUAAUUGGGCGUUAAGUUGCAGGGUAUAGACCCGAAACCCGGUGAUCUAGCCAUGGGCAGGUUGAAGGUUGGGUAACACUAACUGGAGGACCGAACCGACUAAUGUUGAAAAAUUAGCGGAUGACCUGUGGCUGGGGGUGAAAGGCCAAUCAAACCGGGAGAUAGCUGGUUCUCCCCGAAAGCUAUUUAGGUAGCGCCUCGUGAAUUCAUCUCCGGGGGUAGAGCACUGUUUCGGCUAGGGGGCCAUCCCGGCUUACCAACCCGAUGCAAACUGCGAAUACCGGAGAAUGUUAUCACGGGAGACACACGGCGGGUGCUAACGUCCGUCGUGAAGAGGGAAACAACCCAGACCGCCAGCUAAGGUCCCAAAGUCAUGGUUAAGUGGGAAACGAUGUGGGAAGGCCCAGACAGCCAGGAUGUUGGCUUAGAAGCAGCUAUCAUUUAAAGAAAGCGUAAUAGCUCACUGGUCGAGUCGGCCUGCGCGGAAGAUGUAACGGGGCUAAACCAUGCACCGAAGCUGCGGCAGCGA
rnacentral:rRNA from 1 species